rnacentral:rRNA from 1 species
UACAGAGGGGGCAAGCGUUGCUCGGAAUCAUUGGGCGUAAAGGGCGCGUAGGCGGGCUGGCAAGUCGGUCGUGAAAUCCUUCGGCUCAACCGAAGAACGUCGGCCGAUACUGCCGUUCUUGAGGGAUGCAGAGGAGAUUGGAAUUCCCGGUGUAGCGGUGAAAUGUGUAGAGAUCGGGAGGAACACCGGUGGCGAAGGCGGGUCUCUGGGCCUCUCCUGACGCUGAGGCGCGAAAGCGUGGGGAGCAAACGGG